rnacentral:rRNA from 1 species
UGGGGGAUAUUGCACAAUGGGCGAAAGCCUGAUGCAGCGACGCCGCGUGGGGGAUGAAGGCUUUCGGGUUGUAAACCUCUUUCGCUAUCGAACAAGGCCCGCUUAGGGUGGGUUGAGGGUAGGUGGAGAAGAAGCGCCGGCUAACUACGUGCCAGCAGCCGCGGUAAUACGUAGGGCGCGAGCGUUGUCCGGAAUUAUUGGGCGUAAAGGGCUUGUAGGCGGCUUGUUGCGCCUGCUGUGAAAACGCGGGGCUUAACUUCGGGCGUGCAGUGGGUACGGGCAGGCUUGAGUGUGGUAGGGGUGACUGGAAUUCCAGGUGUAGCGGUGGAAUGCGCAGAUAUCUGGAGGAACACCGAUGGCGAAGGCAGGUCACUGGGCCAUUACUGACGCUGAGGAGCGAAAGCAAGGGUAGCGAACAGG